rnacentral:rRNA from 1 species
CACGUAGGGCGCAAGCGUUGUCCGGAAUUAUUGGGCGUAAAGAGCUCGUAGGCGGUCUGUUGCGUCCGCUGUGAAAACCCGGGGCUUAACCCCUGGCUUGCAGUGGAUACGGACAGACUAGAGGUAGGUAGGGGAGAAUGGAAUUCCCGGUGUAGCGGUGAAAUGCGCAGAUAUCGGGAGGAACACCGGUGGCGAAGGCGGCAUCCUGGACCAAUAUUGACGCUGAGGAGCGAAAGCCAGGGGAGCAAACGGG